rnacentral:misc_RNA from 1 species
GGUGCUUCUUCACUUAAAUUGUACAGAAAUGUCUUCACAUAAAGUUAAUAAUUCAUUAUAUACAAUAAUUAUUCCACCAAUAUGCUUAGAAAUUCUUUAAUAUUAUUCUGCUGGACAUGAUGCUUUUUGGAAAGCAAAUGCAAAGUAUACAACUAAUUUUUAAAUAUUUUAAUAUUGCUUUAGUCAUGAAACCUAUGGAAAG